rnacentral:misc_RNA from 1 species
GCAAGUAUCAGCUAAUAUCCAUGCAUUUCAUGCAAAACGAAUACGGCAACCAACAAUGAAACUACAACACUGCUCCAGAUUUUUUACACAGGACAUUUACAAGGACUCAUCAUCAAUACAAAUUUCCGAAUCCCAUGGCUUCCCCAAGUCUGUAACUAAUGCAACUCAGAAACAUUGGAUUAUAUUAAACAGCCAGCAAAUCUGCAUUUCCAUUUCACAAGAGAUAGAGAAAGAGAGAUUCUUCCAACUAAUAAACACCAAUAUUAACUAUCUAGCUCCCUCUAGCCAUCUUCUUCAGAAAUGUUAAACAAGAACUUUGGAAGAGAUGCAAUACGAGGGAGAUGAAGCAGCAGCUCCCCAAAUGAGUCUUUCCUCGACAUGCCUGGUGCUUGCUUGCUGCCAGAAACAUCCUUCAUAUUCAUUUCAGGGUCCUUUGUAUCAGCUUUACUCUUGUUCUCUUGCAACAAUUCAUUAGUGCUGUUUAGCUGAACCCCUUUCCCAUUGCCUGAUUCUCCAAUACAACCUUCAUUAUUAACUUGCAAGUUCUGGGUUGAAGCAGGGUCCUUCUGCAAGAGACAACAGAGAGAAUUGACCCUAGCCAUGAGCCUUUUCUCAUCAGAGGAUGUAGUUAGUUGGGUGUCACUAAGAAGGUACUGUGCAAUGUCCUCUAGUAUGUCCUGGCAUUCUGAUCCAUCUGUAGAGAAUGGUGGAUUUCCAGAGGUCAUUUGUUCUGAAAUACAGUUCCCAAUGUGAUUCAUGAGAUCACUCAUUGACACAGAUGAGUGCAAGCCGGGCACUUUGAUCUGAUCCCAAUUCCUUGGCCCCUUUGAAUCAACAGCUUCACAAAUUCCACUCCCUUCAAUUGCACGAGUAUCCAUCACUGAGCUGGGAGAAGGAGCUUCUCGGGACAUGCGCUCUGAUGAUGUACCAGCAUGAUCCUCCUUUUCAGUCUCUAAGGAAGAUGAGUGAGCCACAGAUGGUGAUGCUAGAUCUUGGAAACCAGAAAUAGAGGAUCCAUUACCAGUCUCUGCUUGAUUAAGAUCUUGACUUUUUGAUUCAUCUGGAUCCUUAAAAACAGAUGAACAUUGCUCAAAAUAUG